UACGUAGGGCGCAAGCGUUGUCCGGAAUUAUUGGGCGUAAAGAGCUCGUAGGCGGUUUGUCGCGUCUGCUGUGAAAUCCCGAGGCUCAACCUCGGGCUUGCAGUGGGUACGGGCAGACUAGAGUGCGGUAGGGGAGACUGGAAUUCCUGGUGUAGCGGUGAAAUGCGUAGAUAUCAGGAGGAAUACCGACGGCGAAGGCAGCUUACUGGGCAUUAUCUGACGCUGAGGCGCGAAAGCGUGGGUAGCAAACAGG
rnacentral:rRNA from 1 species